UACCAAAAUAAUCAUGAAUAAUUUAUCUACCAACUGUAGUACGGUUUUUAUUUAAUUCUGUGAAACAAAAUAAAACGAGCAAAACGUUUGACAAGAAUGUUUUGUAAUAUGUCGUUUUUUCUGCCAGUCUUGGGACGUUUUGACUAAUAUAUUAUACUUCCGAUUUCGGAUAUUUGAAGAAUUGUUUUGAUUGUCAGUGACUUAUCAAGAAAACAUUGACGUCUCCUGCAUCGCCACUCAUUUGAUGCGAAGGAUUACAGAACGGAGGAAUAUGUUGGAAAGGAAAAAAAAAUAUAAGAAAAGGCUCAUUAUGGAGUCUGAGAAAAAUCAUCUUGGUGUAAUUUAAGAGUAUUCUUCAGUAUUUGACAGAGGUUCUAUCAUGCAAAAGUCAUACUAUGAAGUGUCUCACAGAUUUUCUCUAAAUUCCUGCAAUAUCCAAGAACAGUGUUGUGCAAAGAGGAAUAUUCUUCUUGCAAUUAGAAGUAACUACACUUCCAAAUACAGCAUGUACAGUUCCUUCAUUUUUUAAGUGAUUACAGAGUGAAAAUGUUUCCAUAUAAAAUGUUGUCUUUUUAUAUGUAAAGCUUCACAUGUUAUGAAUGGUUAAAAAUACAUGCAUAUACAUUUUGAUUCCAAAUCUAUGCACAUUUUGAUUCCAUUAAUAUACCACUUAAGUAUCUUAAAUUUGGUUUGAAACAGAAAUGUUGUCCUUUUGUUUGUUUCUAAACAAUAAGUGGAAUUAUUCGUGUUUAUUGUUACAAAGUCAAUUAAAAAAUGUCAGUGCUUUUGAAUAGUUGCCUUGGUAACCAGAGUCAAGUGUUCAUAGAAAACUGUCAUUGUUGUCUUUAUUUUCAAUGUGAUACUUUUUAGCAUGUCGGCUUCAGUCAAUAAAAUGUUUAUGUUAUUUUGUAUUCAUUUGGUCAUACUGUCUAUACAAGUAUAUUUCUGAUUAAAACCUUGAACAUUGCUGAUAAUGUCAUACUUAUAUUAAAAUAUUCAGAAUUGAUAGAUGGGUAUAAGUUCUUGAUUUUACAAUUGUCAGGCAAAUCAAUGCAAAAUAUACAUAAUUCUCCUUUUAAUAAAAAGCGUUUUAUCUUAGCAUUUUUUUUUGUAUUUUUAUUGAAUGGUUACCAUGGCAACUUAUUUUUUUUGCCUUUGAUCUUCCUUUUAAUAAUACUAUUAAUUGUAAGAAUGCAACAGUCCAUCAUUAAAUGGAAAAAUGUAGUUGUUCUUUGAAAUUAACCUUAUUGCUAGCUCAAAUUUCAAAAUAUACGGCAUUUUUAAAAUUUCUUAAA